UUAUUUGUAAAAAAAAAUAAAAAAGUUGGCAUUACUUGUGUCACGUGACGCCAACAUUAUUCUACGUAUGAUACGUGUAUCAUAUAUAAUGUAAUAACAGUAAAUUUAAACCGGCGCAAUUAUACCCAAAGAUUUUAGAGACAGAUUAUUAUUUUUUAAUUAUCUUAUCUUUUUAUUGUACUUUUAAUAAAACAUUAUUUAUUAUCUAUUAAUAUAUGAAGUAUAUUGUAUUUUAUACUGUAGGUUGUAUAUUAAUGAUGCUAUUUUUUAGUACUUAUUUAUAAAGUGUUAUUUAUAUUUCUUGUUUGAUUUGUACAUUAAAUGGAUCUUAAAGGCAUGCGUAAAGCACCGUCAGUUAUUGAUUCACUUUACUAAGACAGAGUAGUUUGAAUUGACCCAGUUAGAAUCACGCCAGAACAAAUUUUCGGUAGACAUUAAUUUUCCACGUUUGGAUGGAGAUCAAGAACCAAGUACGUACUAUGACUAUAUAUCACUAGCCUCUCAACAAGAAGAAUAGUUAGUGAUGUCUAUUGUCAUGACUUAUUAUUACAACAUUUAAACAAUCAACAAUAAUCAACCCUCUAUUGUUCUCAAGCUACUUACACUCUUCCUUAUUGAACUUGAUGUUCUUUAACUCGAUUAACUGCUCCAAUAUAUUAUUCAUUUUUAAUUUUCAGAUCACUUUUACUUUCAAAUCACAGCAAAUAAAAUUUUUUAAAAAACCACUGGCAGUCCAACAAAAUAAAUUUAAUGUUUAACCACAAAUGAAAAACUGCACCCCGGAUCAACAAAUCGUAAGUAAAACUUUUACUAAAAUUAUAAUUAAAAUAAUUUUAACUUUUAAUUAACCAAGUACACAAAAGGAAGUUAAAUAUUUAAAAAAUUUUCAGGCCUUUUCGGCAGAGAUAGACACAGACCGAAGGAACGUGUGAUUCUAAAGAGGAUCCGAGCAAAUGAAAAUGUUGGCAGCGCACCAGCCAAAAAUCUGGUCGAGCCGUUUAUAUUUAGUUAACCCACAGCUAGAUUAUAUCCUCUAUCUCAACCUCUACCUCUAUACUUCUGCUGCUACCUACAAUACAACUGUACUAACACCAAUACCAAUAAGAAGACUAGAUAAAUUGUCUGGGUUGGUAUUGGUAGCAAGAGUAUGAAUAUAAUAUGACGAUUCGAGUCUGCUCACUCAGUUACAAGGAUGGAAAUUAAAAAACUGGCCUGUUACUACUCAGUAACAGUGAAGACCUGGCAAAUAGGAUGCGUUUCCGGAUCCGCGCAGCUGGUCGGUGAAUUUACAACUAAACCCACCCUGGACAGUCACGUGUCACAAUCACGAUGUAAAACAGAGAUGAGAUUGACAGCUUAAAAAAUGAUGGAUGCUAGAACUUAAGUUGAAGAACUUGAGAAUUUUUUUAACGGUAUAAUUCUAAAUGCUCGAACAGCGGGAGCUUGGAAAUUUACGGCAGAUUGGUUCAGGCUAUAGGGCUUGUUGCAAGGACAAAGUUGAGAACCGUAUCUUUAAAAGCCUAAUCAACUGCACGAGAAAGUUGAUAUAACAAAAGGGAGAGUUAUUCUGCAGCUAGACUAAUUUUUUUAAGUGAUGCAAUAUUUUUUAGAAUCAAGUUUAA